UGAGUCUGUGUGUGGGUGCUUAGACAAGACUUGAGCCCCUGCCCCCCCCCCAUGUCUGCUGGAGGAACAAUGCCCCAGCAUCGUGGAGAUCUGGGUUCAGCAGCGGCUGAGGAGCCUCGCUCUGCGCUGCAGGCUAGGAUUACUCCGACUGCACUCCAGGUGCGAGGCUGGCGAGUCAUCUUUCCAUCCGCCCGUCCUGUGAUAUUGUGAAAUGAAGCCGGUUCUGCUCAAACACUUAAGGCUGGUGUUGUUCCCGCUCAGACUCCGCGGCAAUGGCCCUCAUGUGUACAGUCAGGAUGUCAGCCUGGAUUCCUCAGCCAGCAGGAAAACCAACACCCCAAACCCCUGUUUCUUUGUAUGUGAAAAAUGAAUUGUCACUGCUUUGGGGGAAUGCUCCUAAAAAAUAAGGAUCCAUUAAAGAGACAGACACAAUAAAA